rnacentral:rRNA from 1 species
GUCUAUUUCCAUACUACCCUGAACAAGCCCAAUCCCAUCUGAUCUCGGAAUCUAAGCAGGAUCGGGCCUGGUUAGUACUUGGAUGGGAGACCACCUAGGAAGACCAGGUGCUGUAGGCG